ACUUAAAUAGCUUAUCUCUUAAAGCAUUUCUCUGAAGAAGAAAAGAAGAAAUCUCUUUAAGUA
rnacentral:tRNA from 1 species